rnacentral:rRNA from 1 species
UACGUAGGGCGCAAGCGUUGUCCGGAAUUAUUGGGCGUAAAGAGCUCGUAGGCGGCCUGUUACGUCUGCUGUGAAAACCCGGAGCUCAACUCCGGGCCUGCAGUCGAUACGGGCAGACUGGAGUUCGGCAGGGGAGACUGGAAUUCCUGGUGUAGCGGUGAAAUGCGCAGAUAUCAGGAGGAACACCGGUGGCGAAGGCGGGUCUCUGGGCCGAUACUGACGCUGAGGAGCGAAAGCCAGGGGAGCGAACGGG